CCCUUAGAUGUCCUGGGCCGCACGCGCGCUACACUGAGUGUCUGAGAUACGAGUCUGCCUGGUCCGGCAAGGUCUAGGUAAUCGCUAAAAGACACAUCAUGCUUGGGAUAGAUUAUUGCAAAUAUUAAUCUUGAACGAGGGAUUCCUAGUAAGCGCAAGUCAACAGCUUGCGUUGAUUACGUCCCUGCCCUUUGUACACACCGCCCGUCGCUACUACUGAUUGGAUGUUUAAGCGAGGUUCUCGAACUGCUAGCGACUUAGCUUCGGUGAGGUCGCAGUGUGGGAAGUGAACCUAGCUUUGGUGUCUAGAGGAAGUAAAAGUCGUAACA
rnacentral:rRNA from 1 species